rnacentral:antisense_RNA from 1 species
CAAAGCUCAUCGUACGACCUUCUAAAGCAUACAGGGAUGGGUGG